GGGGCGGGGAGCAGGCCGGGGUCUGUGGGGAGGGGACGAUUCCCGCGGGCGCGCGGAGAGAGGACGGUGACAGCCACGCGCGCACGUGCGCGCCUGGCCGCAGCGCGGCCCCGAGACCUCCAUCGGCCGCUGAGAGGCGCGCGGGGGCUGGGCCGCUGCCGUCGAGGGGCCCCGUCCCGGGGCGUCCCCAGCGUCCCCGGCCCGAGUCCCUGAGCACAGGGCCGAGCCCACCACAUCGGUCCUGGCUAGUGUUUCGUCCCGGUGGCUGUAAGGGCCCGUCUCCCAACUCCCCUUUACGCUCCCGGGGCAGGGUCCUCACGGCCCAUGCUGGCCGCUGGGGGCCUGCGCCGACCAGACAGCUCCCAGGCCGGCCAGUUGGCUACCAUGGUGGCCCUGAGGCCUGUGCGGCUCCUCCAGGGGGGCUAACAGGUCCAGAGCGCAGGCCUCGGGGCACGAGGGUCCCGGGCCUGAGCCCCGCGCAAUGGCCGGGGCCAUCGCUUCCCGUAUGAGCUUCAGCUCGCUCAAGAGGAAGCAGCCCAAGACGUUCACCGUGCGGAUCGUCACCAUGGACGCCGAGAUGGAGUUCAACUGCGAGAUGAAGUGGAAAGGGAAGGACCUGUUUGACUUGGUGUGCCGGACCCUGGGGCUUCGGGAAACUUGGUUCUUUGGACUGCAGUACACAAUCAAGGACACCGUGGCCUGGCUCAAAAUGGACAAGAAGGUGCUGGAUCAUGAUGUUUCAAAGGAAGAGCCAGUCACCUUUCACUUCCUGGCCAAAUUUUAUCCUGAGAAUGCUGAGGAGGAGCUGGUUCAGGAGAUCACGCAACAUUUGUUCUUCCUGCAGGUAAAGAAGCAGAUUUUAGAUGAAAAGAUCUACUGCCCUCCCGAGGCUUCUGUGCUCCUGGCUUCUUACGCCGUCCAGGCCAAGUAUGGUGACUAUGACCCCUCUGUUCACAAGCGUGGAUUUUUGGCCCAAGAGGAAUUGCUUCCAAAAAGGGUAAUAAAUCUGUAUCAAAUGACUCCAGAAAUGUGGGAGGAGAGAAUUACAGCCUGGUACGCAGAGCACCGGGGCCGAGCCAGGGAUGAAGCUGAAAUGGAAUAUUUGAAGAUAGCUCAGGACCUGGAGAUGUACGGUGUGAACUACUUUGCAAUCCGGAAUAAAAAGGGCACAGAGUUGCUGCUUGGAGUGGAUGCUCUGGGCCUUCACAUCUAUGACCCUGAGAACAGGCUGACCCCCAAGAUCUCCUUCCCAUGGAAUGAAAUCCGAAACAUCUCGUACAGCGACAAGGAGUUUACUAUUAAACCAUUGGAUAAGAAAAUCGACGUCUUCAAAUUUAACUCCUCAAAGCUUCGUGUUAAUAAGCUGAUUCUCCAGCUCUGUAUCGGGAACCAUGACCUUUUUAUGAGGAGAAGGAAGGCUGAUUCUUUGGAAGUUCAGCAGAUGAAAGCCCAAGCCAGGGAGGAGAAGGCUAGAAAGCAGAUGGAGCGGCAGCGCCUUGCUCGAGAGAAGCAGAUGAGGGAGGAGGCAGAGCGCACAAGGGAUGAGCUGGAGAGGAGGCUGCUGCAGAUGAAAGAAGAAGCAACAAUGGCCAAUGAAGCUCUGAUGCGGUCUGAGGAGACGGCUGACCUGUUGGCAGAAAAGGCCCAAAUCACAGAGGAAGAGGCAAAACUCCUGGCACAGAAGGCCGCAGAGGCUGAACAGGAAAUGCAGCGCAUCAAGGCCACAGCCAUUCGGACAGAGGAAGAGAAGCGCCUGAUGGAGCAGAAGGUGCUGGAGGCCGAGGUGCUGGCGCUGAAGAUGGCUGAGGAGUCAGAGAGGAGGGCCAAGGAGGCAGAUCAGCUGAAGCAGGACCUGCAGGAAGCCCGUGAGGCAGAGCGAAGAGCCAAGCAAAAGCUCCUGGAAAUCACCACCAAGCCCACAUACCCGCCCAUGAACCCAAUUCCAGCACCGUUGCCUCCCGACAUACCAAGCUUCAACCUCAUUGGUGACAGCCUGUCUUUCGACUUCAAGGAUACUGACAUGAAGCGGCUUUCCAUGGAGAUAGAGAAAGAAAAAGUGGAGUACAUGGAGAAGAGCAAGCAUUUGCAGGAGCAGCUCAAUGAACUCAAGACUGAGAUCGAGGCCCUGAAACUCAAAGAGAGGGAGACAGCCUUGGAUAUUCUGCACAAUGAAAACUCUGACCGGGGUGGCAGCAGCAGCAAGCACAAUACCAUCAAAAAGCUGCUGCGGUGAGCUGGGCCCUCAGCCACGGGAACCUGGAGUGCUGAAAGCCGGAGAGACCUGUUUCCAAGCCAUAAAAACAAACAAAUGAAGUCACUUGUCACGAUUUCAGGCCUGUAUGAGCAUUUUGCAAAUGGCACGUGUGGCGUUGUUGAUAUCACAGGCUCACCUUGCAGAGCGCCAAGUCCCGAGUGGCCUUCUUUGAAGAGCUCUAGCAGGUGCCCAGCCACCCCAGGAUCUGUCACAUCUGCUGCUUCCCGGCACCAGAGGGAUGGGUCAGACACCGUGGGAGUCAUCGUAGGUGGGCUGGCUGGGAGCUUCCGUGGGAGCUCUGGACACUUUCCCCAGCUGAGUGGAGAGCCCAACCCCCUUCAUGUGCAAUUGCCUUGAACUGUGACCUGCAGAGAGCUCUCACGUGGGGUUCUAGUUCUUUUUAAAAUUUUUAAAAGAAGUAUUUGUCUUUCCUCAUCUGAUAUGGGGUUUCAUACUUCCUUUGUCAAAGGCACCCUGAGGUGUGUGUCUCACUGUCCAGUGCUGACCUUCCCAGCCCAGGGAAGUGGUCGUAGGGAGUGAAGUGCACAGGAGCCCUGGAGACAGGGAGGCUGGCGCCACUGCCCCCCCCGCCCCUACACUGGGUCCCAGAACAUUCAUCUCCACUGGUGAGGAACUGGCAUGCGAAGAAGUGUGGCCCACCCAAGCCCAAGCCCAGGCCCGGAGCAGCCUGCCUGCCGGCCUGCCUGCUGCACAUCAUCGGUGAGCUGGCCUGUGGCUCAUGACAGGCCACGUGAGGGUCUUCAGCCCAGGUGCCCCUGAGGCUGCGCGCUGGCUGCCGGCUGGUGGGGAAUGGGAAAGGCAGCUGUGACGGGGAAGACUCUAGGCAGAAGCUAUGAUGACGGGCUGGCUGUCAGCAGAGGGGCAGGGAGGCCAGCAGAGCUGUGUGGGAAUCUGCUCCACACAGAACACUCGCUCCCCUUCUUCUGCCUCAGACCAGGGUCCAAGAGGCAGGCGGGAGCUGCGUCUUCCUCACCUCCUCAGCCUUAGUCUUUCCUGCCUGUGGCGGGCUGGGGAACUCCCCGGGCACUUGUAAUCAGCACCUGAGCCUGGCCAGGCUCUGUUAGGGCUCUGAGGCCCCUCAGGUACUUCUUGCUGAGGCCUCCGUAUGUGUGGCUGACCUGAAUCCCCUUUCCCUCUGGCCACGUGCCAGCAAGCCCUUCCUAAGCCUUGAUUGUAUUGGGCCUCCUUCUGGUGUUGCCCUUGUACCCCAGGCGGCCCUUUAUUUUAUCUGCCCCCUUGGGCCAUGUGGGGUCCCUUGUGCCCCUCCCAGCACAAGCCAGGUGUCCGCACCCUGUUGGUGCUCUGCCACUCGGCAGCAGCAGGUCACAGAGCCACCCCCAUGGCACCACCCUCCUUAGUUUGGGGCUACUUUGUUUGCUCUCUGGUUUGGUGGUGCUUCUGUGACCCACUGGCCAUUUAGAUCCUUCCAGUGGGGCUGGUAUACAGAGCAGGAGUUAAGUCGGAACCAGCAAAAAGAGGUUUAUUAAGUGAAGACAUGUGAGGGCCUGGAGAUUUCCUGAGAGUGGGGGUGUCUCUGGCUGUCCUGUGUGGUUUUGAGAAACUCACAAAGAUCCUGCCUUCUUUCCACACUCAGGCUGACCUGACGGUGUGCCAGGUGCCACCCUGCUAUUUGGGGCCAACUUGCCCUGAGGAAGGCAGCCCUGUGGUACCCAAGCCCCUUAGGGCACGCAGGGUGGGAUGGCUGUGGCUGAAAGAGCUUCCUUGUGUCUCCCCGUCCCUCAAAAGCCUCUUCCCCCAAGAUGUGGUCCCAGUGAGGCGUUUGUAACGUAGGGCCUGGCUCUUGUGUUGAGGCUCUGUCUCCCCAGGCUCACCAGCCAUCCCUGAAUUUCCAUGACGAGUUACUUUCCUCCUGACCUGUAAAUUGAAUCUGUAAAAGUGGCUGUGGGCACAGGGGCAUGGUAGUGGUUUCUAUAAAUGUUGUUGGGCUUUGUUGUUUUUAUUAUUUAACUGCUGUGUGUGUGUGUGUGUUCCAAGUCCGGGAACUGCCGAACCAUGUGGCCACAAGGGAGCCAGCUAGCACCUGAGCUGUGUCAGGAGCUCCCUGGGCCCGAGAGCAGACUCGGGGGGGUGGGGGGGACAGCAGAGCCUUGCUCACCCAGGAACACUUCGGCUCUCCUUGGAGGCUGGAGAGGGUGGUGGCCCUCAGAAAGGCCUUGAGCCUCAGUGGAAGGAGGAGGAAUGGAAGGAGCCCAGUUUUCAGGGACUCGUGCCUGUGGCUCGGGUGACCGUGCUCUUUUCAAGUGAACAUCUUGGGGGCACGGGAGCUUUUUAGGUAAGGAAGCCUCUGUGCCCCCGCUGAGAGCAGGGCCCUAGCCACUGCGAUUUCAUUACGGGCACUUCUGAGGGUCCUCGGGCUGCCCAGCUGGUGACACCCUGUGCGGCCGCGCUGUCGGCCCUUCGCUGUCACGCACAGACCGCCUCGUUCAUCCUGACUGGGGCCCUGCCUCAGCCCCAGCCGCGCUCUGACCUGUGGCGUCUGCUCGAUUAUCCAUGUACGUGCCAGGCCACGCUAGACAACACCCCGUGGCAUUACGUAACACUUCUUAAGUGACUGUGUUUUGUAAUCUUGGGGACAGGCUUCUCUCUCCCUCUCUUUUCUCUUACAAAUCAAAACAGCAAAUCCAGAGGCUGACAACCAGGACGGGGGUGGAGUGCUGCUCCCUGACAGGGCUGGGGCUUAUAGCCCCCGGAGGGGCCGCCUCAGUGGGGAGACAGCCCCUCCUGGCUGCCCGGGAGCCAGGUCGGCCCCUUGUGGGCUUCCAGGGAAACUCCAUCCCUUUCCAAGAUGUCAGACCACACUUGUUCCAGUGGGGCCUGAGUCUCGCUUCCUGUCAGGGCCAGCCCGUGGAAGGUUAUUUUCUCUUCCGGGGGAUUGUUGUAAUUUAAAUGAUUGUUUUAAUAAAAAUUCUAAGCUGUCAAAAGUA